AUGGGGCAGAGAUAAAACUGGUGAGU
rnacentral:piRNA from 1 species